CAAGUGAAACUGGAAGGGCUGAACGUCAUUUCUUUGCAAGGAAGGAUCCAGAUACGUGAUGCAAGAAUGAGUCUUUCCGGUACUCUAACCAUCGUAGUCGUCUGCGUUGUUUUGGCUCUUACAGUUCACAAAUGUGAUGCUGCCAAAGGCGGUGCUUGCGGCCAGCCAUGCAGACGCAACGACGAUGGGUCUACUUGGGGUUGCACUGGCCCCUGCAUUUGCAAAACAGGCACAUCUCCAAACGGAAUCGCACUCUAUGGUCGUGGAACAUGCGUGCAUGUGUAGCCCCGCAAAGAAUUCUAAUUGGAAGCAGAGGAAGACAACAAAACAGCCAAGAAACCCAGAAGAGAAAGGCGCACAUCCAGAAGCUUAUGGAAUGAAACCGUGCAUGCAAGAGGUUGAGAAUGAAUACAUUAAAUAAAUCGUCGCAUUUUCUGUGCAGUA